ACAUCUAGACAUGACAUACAUACUAAAACAUGUGCCCGGAUGCAAUAGAAAACAUGUCAUAACAAACACAGAACAGAUUAGAGAGCAAAUAGAAAAACCACUACUGUCAUGAUCGCUUCAGCUUCGCUUAGCGAAGGCUUAGCGAAGCUUCGCUGCAGGCUCGCCUAGCGAUGGGCUAGCGAACGCCUACGGGUUCUGGGUUCUUCAUUGAUAACAGUCCGAUUUCAGAAACCCCAAACCCUAUGGUGCUCAUUUCAGAAACCGAGUGAUCAAACAUUCAAGGUAUUGUUCUACACAUUCAUGCACAUCUAAACCCAUAUGCAAAACCUAACGAUACCCACUCUUCCAAAUUCACCCAUAAUACCUCAUACAUUCAGAAAUUUCAAAUUGAAAGCAUAAAGUAGUGGGAAUAGGGCAUACCUGAUUGGAGAGAUCGAUUGAAAUUGAAAAGCACGGUUGGGUUUGCAAAGCAAUGUUAGGGUUUAUGUGAGAUGGAAGUGAAAAGUGUGUGAGUGUGAGUGAAAAGUGUGUUUUUCUCUUCAGUGUCUGGAGGCCGCUGCAGAUUAGUUAGUUAGCUAGCUAGGGUUUUGUUCCAAUGAAAUUUUAGAAUUUAUACUCUGACUUUGUGGCUUGGUGGGCUCAGAAUGAAGGCAAUUCAAGCCCAUGAUCUUUUCUGUUAUAUUUUUUUAUUUUCAAAACGCAUGGGCUUCGCCUAGCGAAGAAUCUGCUCGCCUAGCGAGCAUGACAGUUCAGGAAGC
rnacentral:lncRNA from 1 species